rnacentral:tRNA from 1 species
GGGGUCAUAGUCCAACUUGGUUAAGAUUCGGGCUUUGGGAGUCUGCGAUCUGGGUUCAAAUCCCAGUGACCCCA